rnacentral:ribozyme from 1 species
UGCCCAGCAACUCCUAUCUCUACCUCCUCGUGGUACCGACCAGAAAAUAUGAGCAACCAGGGAAGAUCGGGUAACCAACACCGGUGGGAACUUUGAUCGUAGGCUGACAGGGAAGG